GCGCCCGUAGCUCAGCGGAUAGAGCAGCAGUCUUCUAAACUGUCGGUCGCAGGUUCGAUCCCUGCCGGGCGCG
rnacentral:tRNA from 1 species